UACGUAGGCAGCGAGCGUUGUUCGGAGUUACUGGGCGUAAAGGGUGUGUAGGCGGCCUCUUAAGUUUGGUGUGAAAUCUCCCGGCUCAACUGGGGAGGGUGCGCCGGAUACUGAGGGGCUCGAGUGCGGGAAGGGAAAGUGGAAUUCCUGGUGUAGCGGUGAAAUGCGUAGAUAUCAGGAGGAACACCGGUGGUGCAAACGGCUUUCUGGACCGUAACUGACGCUGAGACACGAAAGCGUGGGGAGCAAACAGG
rnacentral:rRNA from 1 species